AUGGCGGAUCGGCACGGCGAGGGCGGCGUGGCCUCGGCGCGGCGGCCGGGGCGCGCGGACCUGGACGACCAGUCGACGACGCUGCUGCAGCGCGUGCAGGCGCACCUCCCGAACGCGACGCAGGUGGUGGGCCUGCUGACCCUGCUCGUCGCCGGCGCGGCGCUGCUGGUGCUGGCGGGGCUGACGUUCACGGGCGCGGUGGUGGCGCUCGUCUUCCUCGGCCCGCUGGCGCUGCUGACCAGCCCCAUCUGGGUGCCCUUCUCCUUCGCGCUCCUGGUCGUGGCCGUGGCGGCGCUCUCCUUCGUGGGCUUCGCCGUGGCCGCGCUCGCCGCGGCCACCUGGGCGUACCGGUACUUCACGGGGCGGCACCCCGUGGGCGCCGACCGCGUGGACCGCGCCCGCAGCCGCCUCGCCGACACCGCCAGCCACGUCAAGGACUACGCCCGCCGCGAGUACGGCGGCUACCUCGGCAACCGCACCAAGGACGCCGCCCCCGGCGCCUAG
rnacentral:rRNA from 1 species